rnacentral:misc_RNA from 1 species
GCGGACUCGGCAGUGAAAGUGAAGAUGACUGCGAGAGCCGUGUGAGGCAACUAUUUAGGAAAGGAGAAUUCUAGAAUUCUUUCCCUGCAAGUAACCGAUUGCAUUCCAUGCGAUGCCAAGUUGAAAAUUUAAAAAGUCUGAUGCGAGGCCCAAAGAUAAUUGAUCCAUAGAAUCAACUGAAUCGAGGAAGAGAUUGGCAAUUAUCGGCGAUGGAGAGAAGAGUAGGGAGGUUGUUACCGCUGCUUGCAGUUCACACAGUGGUCGAGUACUGUAGACUGCCGUGGAAACCACCUGUAACGGCAGGUCUUCUAGCCGCCAACACUCUCAUCUAUUUGAGGCCUUCUUUCUUGCAUCAUAUCCUUCCUCCUAUUCGUGAGGUCUGGUUCAAUCCCUACCUCAUUUUCA